CUGGAUUAUUUCAGGAGAGAUGAUGGUGCCUAGAAGUGAAAUUUGCAUCUCCUGGCUUCCAGAACAGGGUGGUUUUCUUGAGAAGGGCAGGUUCCGGAGGCAGCCUGGGAAAACACAACCUGGAGAAUGAGUUGUUUUGGGUGGAGAAUGGCUUUUGCCAGGAUUUAUGCUGCCUUUAUGGAGACACAAGGAAUUCUUCUGACAAUUUAAGUCCCUGAACUGAAGUGCUCAGCAGUGGUUGGGAUUGCAGGUGGCAGCCGUGGCAGUGAUGGAUUUUCACCUCAUUCCUGCACCAGGGGCUCUCAGUCACUCAGGGCCUGAAUGUUGGUGCAGUUCCCAAGAUGAGGCUCAAAAUCGAUCCCUGGAGUGGGAACUUCUGCACAGCCUUGGAAAUGGGACCCAGGGAGGAAACUGUGGCCAAGGAGAGAUCUUGGUGUCCAGGUUGAAGGUGUUGGAAGCUGCCAGAGCCACUGAUUCCAAUUUGUGUUUCUCCAUCUGCAUGGAAAAUCCAUCUGCUUGCAGAAAUUGUAUUUACACAGCCCAUAAUCCUGAGCAGCCUCAGAUAUUGGGGAUUGAGGCUCUAACGACAUUGGAAACCAUUUUUAUUAAGAGGCAGAAAUUGAAUUAG
rnacentral:lncRNA from 1 species